CUACGGGAGGCAGCAGUGGGGAAUAUUGCACAAUGGGCGCAAGCCUGAUGCAGCCAUGCCGCGUGUAUGAAGAAGGCCUUCGGGUUGUAAAGUACUUUCAGCGGGGAGGAAGGGAGUAAAGUUAAUACCUUUGCUCAUUGACGUUACCCGCAGAAGAAGCGCCGGCUAACUCCGUGCCAGCAGCCGCGGUAAUACGGAGGGUGCAAGCGUUAAUCGGAAUUACUGGGCGUAAAGCGCGCGCAGGUGGUUUGGUAAGUCAGAUGUGAAAUCCCCGGGCUCAACCUGGGAACUGCAUCUGAUACUGGCAAACUUGAGUCUCGUAGAGGGGGGUAGAAUCCCAGGUGUAGCGGUGAAAUGCGUAGAGAUCUGGAGGAAUACCGGUGGCGAAGGCGGCCCCCUGGACGAAGACUGACGCUCAGGUGCGAAAGCGUGGGGAGCAAACAGGAUUAGAUACCCUUGUAGUC
rnacentral:rRNA from 1 species